rnacentral:lncRNA from 1 species
AAAAAAAAAAGAAGACAGAUAACACAGAAGUUGCUUCCAACUGCAUCCCAGCAUUCUCUUAGUUGCACAAGCCGCACAUACCAUGGCCCUGUGUUCACGCGGGAGUACUCCAACGUGCAGGGGACAUUUGGAGUACAAACUGGGGCCAAGUUGGCUAACUCCAUAUUUGAGGGCUUUCAUACCCAGAACCAAAUGGGACUGGGAGGGAUUGAUGCUGGUGGCAUGUGGCCUCCACACUUUCAUCUUUGCAUUCUGACUUCCAUGUUCCUCAUCGACCUAAGGUUUCCUGGGUCUGGAUCUAAGUUUUCCAUAACAAGCAUUUCCACUUCACAAGGAUGAUCUCAUGGGGAUCCAUUGUGUGAUUAUUUCUUUCUAAGCACUGUCUCAGUUUAAUGUCUGGGCAGCUGUGAUAAUUUUAAAACAAUAAAUUCACAUUCCAGUGGCCAAGAAGGAAACUCUGUUUCUCCCACUUCUAUCGGAGAGCUGCAUGAUUCCUGUAGGAUGAGAAGGAGGCAGCCCUGUGUGGCUUUUUCUGGCUUACAAUCACCACAGACAACCUUUGAGACACUGUCCCAACAUCAUCUGCACCUAUGAAAGGCCAGUGCGAUGUGUGAGAACACUGCUCCACACUGGAUUUGUCUUUGUCGUGGUUCCUACCUUUCCCAGAGAGACCUUGUGAGGCCCAAAAUGAAGGGAGGCAGUGAGGCCAAGGCCCUGGUAGUCUGUCACUGACAUCUGCCUCUGGGGUCUCAGUUUCCUUGGUCUGGCUCAACGUCUUCUAAACUCAACAUUCCCCAGUUCAUGGAAAAUGAUCCUCAUGGGAUUCUAUUGUAAAAGCUGCAUGAUUCCUGGAGAAUGUUUUAUUGUCCUGAAGUCAACCCAAAAAUCAACACUACCAGUCAUGUUGCAGAGCUCCUUGAAUUAACCUUGAAUUCAGUUUCCAGCUGAGCAGCUGCUUCACGUUGUGAGGGGGCAAUCCUCCAUCAUCCUGGGAUUUCAUUCUGGGACACAGAGUUUGAGCAGCAAUAAGGCUGGGUCCACAUUGCCCCUCAACAGCAUUAGUGGACAUGAUUGUCAGACUUGCAAUUUCCGCAGACACCUUCUGUGAACAUUUUUCAACAUCAUCUACAUGAGUGAGAGACCCGUUCGACAUGUAAGAAUACUGCUUGACUUUGGACCUGCCUUUGUCGUGGUUCCUGCCUUUCUCAUAGAUCCCCUGCCAGGCCCAGGAUGAUAGGAGGCAAUGAAGUCAAGGGCCGAGCCCCAUUCAUUGAAAGCUGACUCUGGGGUCUCGGGUAUAAUUCCAUCACAUAAAAUCCCCUCAACAACUCACCAGACUAUAUUCCAAUCUCCAUGGAACCUGAUUCUUGCACACAGCCUCUUUCAGGAAUGGAGUCAGAAGAGCAGUCUUCAGAGACCACCUCAGUUUGGAAAAGCCUCCUCCUUCAGUGGUUCCCAGCCAUGGAGUCAUCGUGAAGGGGCUCCAUGGUCAAUAAUUUUACGGUACUGCACUUGGUUAUCACAGACAGACUUUUUCAUGAUAGCAUGCCAUCUCUGUCUAUAUCAUUUUCCUCUGCUUAGGCAGGCUGACAACUCUGACAGCCAGGGGCCCGAAUCUACCUGGCAAAUGUGCAUGCUCUACUCUCAGUGCAAAAGGCCUGUUUGGGAGUUCUGACUAGUGUCACAAUAAAUGCCGCCAUUGCCUAGUGACAAGUCCCUGUGGAUUGAGGGAGGAAACCUCCAUGUAGGGGCAUUGGUAGUGGACUCUCACCUGUCUUCUAAGUAAAAUGCAUGGGACAGUCCCAUGAUGCUAGGAGAGGGCAGACAGAAGCCAGCCUCAAGAAACCUCAAGGGCAGCCUCAGGAAUAAACUGAAGCAUUCCUAAUGAUUUAAAAUAUGUGUAGAAUUUCUAAUGCCUGCCUAGAUGUUGCAGGGGUGAGUCAUUGUGAAACUUGCCCCACUGUGAUUUCUAGGUAAAGCCCACC